AACGAACGCUGGCGGCAGGCCUCAAACAUGCAAGUCUAGGGGGUGUAGCAAUACAUCACCGGCGGACGGGUGCGUAACACGUGGGAAUAUACCUUUUGGUUCGGAACAACGCAGGGAAACUUGCGCUAAUACCGAAUGUGCCCUUACGGGGAAAGAUUUAUCGCCAAAGGAUUAGCCCGCGUAGGAUUAGCUAGUUGGUGAGGUAAUGGCUCACCAAGGCUCCGAUCCUUAGCUGUUCUGAGAGGAAGAUCAGCCACACUGGGACUGAGACACGGCCCAGACUCCUACGGGAGGCAGCAGUUGGGAAUCUUGGACAAUGGGGGAAACCCUGAUCCAGCCAUGCCGCGUGAGUGAUGAAGGCCUUCGGGUUGUAAAACUCUUUCGACGGGGACGGAUAAUGACGGUACCCGUAGAAGAAGCUCCGGCUAACUUCGUGCCAGCAGCCGCGGUAAU
rnacentral:rRNA from 1 species